rnacentral:rRNA from 1 species
CAGCAGCCGCGGGAAUACGUAGGGUGCGAGCGUUAAUCGGAAUUACUGGGCGUAAAGCGUGCGCAGGCGGUUAUAUAAGUCAGAUGUGAAAUCCCCGGGCUCAACCUGGGAACUGCAUUUGAGACUGUAUGGCUAGAGUGUGUCAGAGGGGGGUAGAACUCCACGUGUAGCAGUGAAAUGCGUAGAUAUGUGGGGGAAUACCGAUGGCGAAGGCAGCCCCCUGGGAUAACACUGACGCUCAUGCACGAAAGCGUGGGGAGCAAACAGGAUUAGAUACCCGCGUAGUCCCUGUCUCUUAUAC